rnacentral:rRNA from 1 species
UACAGAGGGGGCCAGCGUUAUUCGGAAUUAUUGGGCGUAAAGGGCGCGUAGGCGGCUCGGCACGUCCGUUGUGAAAUCGCACGGCUCAACUGGGCGGGGUCAGCGGAUACGGUCGAGCUUGAGCAAGCUAGGGGGCAACGGAAUUCCCGGUGUAGUGGUGGAAUGCGUAGAUAUCGAGAGGAACACCUGCGGCGAAGGCGGGUUGCUGGGCUGAUACUGACGCUGAGGCGCGAAAGCCAGGGGAGCGAACGGG